GGUAGGGAUCAUGGGAGCUUUAGAACUGGGGUCUGGCCAGGCAUGGUGUGCAUGAGCUACAUAGUGAGCUCAAGGCCAGCCUGAACUAUAUAGCAAGACCCUAUCUCAUAAAAAUAAAUAAAUAAAUGGCCAGAUAGAAUGGUGCAUACCUAUAAUUCCAGCACCUGGGAGGCUGAGGCAGGAGGAUUGCCAUGAAUUUGAGUCCAACCUGGGCUACACAGUGAGACCUUGCCUCAAAAAAAAAAAAAAAAAGAUGGGCGUGCACAGAUGGGCGUGGUGCGUGGUGGUGCACGCCAGGAAUUUUAGCACUGGGGAGGCUGAGGCAGGAGGAUCGCUGUGACUUCGAGACCAGCCUGGGCUACAUAGUGAGUUCCAGGUCAGUCUCAACUACAUAAUGAGACUAUGACUCAACAAAACAAAACAGAAAAAAAAAAAACACAACAAACAAACAAACAAAAAGAACUGGGUCCUGGUCCGUUAUCAGCAGCAAGUCCUGGCAGACUGGGAAAGGAGAAGCUGAGGAUAAUAGGAUUUGAUGAGAAAACAGAGCCAAGAGUCUUCCCUGGCUAUGUCAGUAGAUGGCAGCAGAGAGAAGAUAGCGUGGUACAAUCAGAUGCAUGUGCACCUCAAGAACUGGAGCUCUUAACAGAACGGAAGACAAAUCUUUUGGAACUGAGUGUGAGUAUUGGAAAUACUGGCUCUCCCUUCCCCAAUACCCAUGCCAGGAUACAUAUGAUUAAUACAAGAGCAUUUUUCAUGCUAUGGGAACACAAGGGAAGCUAAAUCAGGAGAUACAUGUUUGAUGGUUCAGUGAAGAGGAACUCGCUUACCAUGGAAAGAAAACAUCUAGAAACAUUACAGGAAACCAGUGUCUUUUAUUGAUUCCUCACUAUGCUCAAAGACUCCAAAUACAUUAUCUCAAGGCCAAUCUUUGAGACAAAACAGUUAUCAUCCUCCUAUUUUACAGAUACAGUGGCUGGGCGUGGCAGUGUAUACCUGUAAUCCUAGCACUCAUGAGGCUGAGGCGGGAAGAUCGCCUCAAAUUCAAAGCCAGCUUGGGCUACAUAAUGAGUUCAGGGACAGCCUGAACUUACAUUGUGAGACCCUGUCUCAAAAAACCAAAAAAUAAAAAAGAGAUACAGAGACACUGAGGUUGACAAGUAAAGUAGCUUGUUCAUUUUUAAAACUGUUCCAGUAGUGAACUAAAUUAACAGGUGAAGCUGCCUCUUGAGUUUAUAACCAUGGUGAAGAAUGUUAAGAGCAUGAGACGUGCUCAUUACUACUGCCAGCUGGUGUAGACUGUGAUCCCUCAUGGCAUUCAGAACUUGUGCACAGUUUGCAGGCUGAGACUGGCACAGACACCAGAGCAUUAGUGAUCACCCUGCCUCCUUAGACGGAGUGAGUAAGGGAGAUCCAUAAGAGUCGAUGAACAUUAGAUUAGAAUUUUUUCAUUAACAUAUAGAUCGAUUCUUUUCAGCUGCGCGUGGUGCCACAUGUCUACAAUCCCAAUAUUCUGGGAGGCUGAGGCAAGAGGAUUGCAAGUUCAAGCCCAUCCUGGUCAACUUACUGAGAUCUUGUCUCAAAAUUAAAAAAUGAAAAAAACUGGGGAUGUAGCUCAGUGUGAAGGCCCUGGCUUCAAUCCUCAGUACUGGGGGUGAGGGGUUUCGUGUUGCCGAUGCUUGUCCCUUUCUUAACGAGGUUGGACACUGGUGGUCAAGUGGUUUGUGUAGAGGGCUCACUAAACUGCACUAAGAAUACUGAGCUGGUACAGCUGUUGCUUGACCUUUAAUUUAAAUCCAAUUAAAGCCAAAACUUAGAGCUGGAUAUGUAGCUCAGUAAUAAAGUGCUUACCCAGAAUGCAUGAGGCCCUGGAUUUGAUCCCUGGUAAAGAGAAAGAAAAAGCUGAAAUAAGCCUUUUCACUCAUUUGUUCAAUAAGUUUUUAAUUUUAUUUUUUAAAAUAAGGUCUUACUGUGUAGCCCGGGCUAGCCUCAAAUUUGUGGCACAGUCCCCUGUGUCAGCCUCCUGAGUGCUGGGAUGACAGGCAUGUGUCACUACACCUGGCUUGUUCAAUAUAUGUUUAAUGGGGCCCAGGGAUUCAGCUCAGUGGUACCACCACCUGCCUCACAAGUGCAGGGUCCUAAAUUCGAUCCCCAAUACCAAAAAAUAAAAAUAAAUACAAUAAAUAAAUAAAUAUUCAAUAAAUCAUAAGCUGUGUCAGGUGCUGCCAAAUACAAACAAAAUGAUUUGUCCUUGUCUAUAAGAAGUUUUUUGUUUUUUUUUUUUUUUGGUACCCGGUAUCAAACUUGGGUCCUUGCGCUUGCAAGGCAGGAGGUGGAACCACUGAGCUAAAUCCCUGUCCCUAUAAGAAGCUUUUGGAUGUGCAGGCAAGAAUCUCACUUGUUUUUUUGUUUGUUUGUUUGUUUUGUUUUGUUUUAAGAUAGGAUUUCACUGUGUAUCCGAGGCUGGCCUCAAACUUGUGAUGAUUCUCCUGCCCCAGCCUCCCAAGUGCUAGGAUUACAGGUAUGUACCACCAUCCACUUUUGCGUUUUUACUACUUCAAAAGAUAAUCUAAUCCUAUAUUCAAAUGACACUUUGUGGGCUCUCAUCAUGUCUUAAU
rnacentral:lncRNA from 1 species